rnacentral:rRNA from 1 species
AGCGAACGCUGGCGGCAGGCUUAACACAUGCAAGUCGAGCGGGCACUCUCGGGUGUCAGCGGCGGACGGGUGGGUAAAGCGGGGGAACGUGCCCUCUGGUUCGGAAUAACACAGGGAAACUUGAGCUAAUACCGGAUACGCCCUUUUGGGGAAAGGCUUGCCGCCGGAGGAUCGGCGCGCGUCGGAUUUGCGAGUGGGUGAGGUAACGGCACACCAAGGCGACGAGGAGUAGCUGGUCUGAGAGGAUGACCAGCCACACUGGGACUGAGACACGGCCCAGACUGCUACGGGAGGCAGGAGUGGGGAAUAUUGGACGAGGGGCGCAAGCCUGGUGCAGCCGUGCCGGGUAAGUGAUGAAGGCCUUAGGGUUGUAAAGCUCUUUUAUCCGGGACGAUAAUGACGGUACCGGAGGAAUAAGCCCCGGCUAACUACGUG